rnacentral:snRNA from 1 species
CCAGUUCCGAACCCGUCG